UGAGGAAUAUUGGUCAAUGGGCGCAAGCCUGAACCAGCCAUCCCGCGUGCAGGAAGACGGCCCUAUGGGUUGUAAACUGCUUUUCCAGGGGGAGAAUUUUUCUGUCGUGACAGGAAUUGACGGUACCCUGGGAAUAAGCAUCGGCUAACUCCGUGCCAGCAGCCGCGGUAAUACGGAGGAUGCGAGCGUUAUCCGGAUUUAUUGGGUUUAAAGGGUGCGUAGGCGGAUAGAUAAGUCAGUGGUGAAAACCUGCAGCUUAACUGUAGACUUGCCGUUGAUACUGUCAGUCUUGAGUAUGGUCAAGGUAGGCGGAAUGUGUAAUGUAGCGGUGAAAUGCUUAGAUAUUACACAGAACACCGAUUGCGAAGGCAGCUUGCUGGGCCAUUACUGACGCUGAUGCACGAAAGCGUGGGGAUCGAACA
rnacentral:rRNA from 1 species